rnacentral:sRNA from 1 species
GUCGGAGGUCCUACCCAACAGAUUGACGCGGCGUUAGUAUUGGCCGUGUACCCGAAAAACUGAUUGACUGGGCUGGCGUUAACUGUGCGGAGGCAGUUGGCCGUGUUUACAUCAGUGGUUGGAGACCAGACCUAACAGACAGGUGUGUCCUGUUUGCAAAGCUGGCAUCAGCCGAGACAAGGUCAUCCCCCUCUAUGGAAGGGGCAGCACUGGGCAACAGGACCCCAGAGAGAAGACCCCUCCUCGUCCUCAAGGACAGAGGCCAGAGCCGGAGAAUAGAGGGGUGAGGAACAUUCUAGGAGAAGCUUCUACAAAUGAGCUGAUGGCUUUACAAGUUUCCUUCUUAGCCUUACGAUUUUUCUCCUUGAUUAUAAAAGUAAAGGAAAACUUGUAAAAUACAGAAAGGAAAAGAGGGGGAAAAAAAUCACUUAUAACCACACCAAUCCAGAGGGAUUUCAAGGAUUUGGAUUUGGAGAUGGUGGCUUCCAGAUGUCUUUUGGAAUUGGGGCAUUUCCCUUUGGGAUAUUUGCCACAGCAUUUAAUAUAAAUGAUGGGCGGCCUCCUCCAGCUGUCCCUGGGACACCCCAGUAUGUGGACGAGCAGUUCCUGUCACGCCUCUUCCUAUUUGUGGCCCUGGUGAUCAUGUUCUGGCUCCUGAUUGCCUAAUGCUAGGCUCCUGCCUACAUCCGUGGCAGGGCUCUGGACUGGUGACGUGCCACCCCAACUCCUGGUGUUUGGCUUCCUGGCUAAUCUUGACUCCUAGAAUCAGUGGGAUCAGUAACACAUCAAGGAGUCUUGUUUCUUCAUCAGAGCUUUGGAACUCGAGACCAGUUGGCGAUGACCCCUGAAUAUCGCCACCGCUGUAAACACCCUAUAACCUCAGGCCUUGGCAUUGAGUCCUCUCUCAUGGGUGACACCAUGAAAUCUUGUUUCAGCCAGUUCUGCAGGUCCUGACUCUGCAGAGGGAAGAGGCAGAAAGAGAGAAACUGUCAGAGUAUAAUUUCACCUGAGUUUAAUAUUACAGAAACAAAGGGAUGCACCAAAUGGUAUUUCUGGAAAUUUUCAUGUCUUUAAAUACCCCUUGGUAAGUUGCCUCUGAAGCCAGUGGGGGCUCCUCAGAUAGAGAGGUUCCCCUUUCAAAUCCCAGUGCCGCUCUGUUCUCUUUCCUUCCCCUCCCACUCCCCCUCUUCUUCCUCUGUAGAGAUGCAAGAAAUUGCUGUCCCAUAAAAAUCAUAAUUGCAGUAGCUAAAGCUGGGGUCACUUCGUGAAUUCACCAGAGACUCAAAGAUCUUUUAUUGGCUCUGGGCUGUGCUCAGUGUCUUUGGCCUCAGAGAACAACUUGAAUGACUUCCUGGUUUCCUGGCAUAAAUUAUUCCUGGUGAGACAUGUGGCUUAACUCACAGGUUUCCCAUCAGCUUUCUCCCUAAAACUAUGUUCAUCUGCCUCUCUCUGCCAGAGAACAUACAGCCGAGAAUACUGCUGAAGCUGAGACUGACUACUGUGCAUUAGGAAAGACCUGGAGUCAGGACUUUGGUGGGAUUUGGAGCUCCGAGGCAGUAAUAACUGAACAAGCAGGCCUGUCCCCUAGGCUGCAGAAGCUUGAAUGCAUCCUCUCCCAGAACCUGCCACAGGAAACUGGGGGCUUUGUCAGGUCAGCCCAACUGCAUGCAGAAGACCACCAUCCUCAGAAGCCAAGUUGUCUUUUAUGAAGAGGCAAGGAAAGGGGAAACCCACAUGUGACCCUGAUUUUGGUAUGGCUUGAUAGAGUUCCCUGAAAACUCCUUGUAUGUGUGCUAAAACCAGGGAAGCAUGUGACUGCCAAGCAGGCAACCCCUGAUGAUUUGUAAAGCCAGGUGGCAGGGCCUGGGGAGCCCCAGCACAAUGAUAUUGUGUGGUCUUCCCUCCUGUGGAAUCGAGGGGAAAUUAUUCUUCCGAAUACCUUGAUUUGAUUUUCAGUUUCACAAGCUUCUUCCUCUGAAUCUUAUUGAGGGACUAUGGUACCAAGCAGGUAGGACUGUUCACCUGGUGGAACAGUUCUUGCUCUGCCUUCUAGGCUUCAUCCCAGAAAUCCAGCCUCUUUCUGGAGACCCCAAAGCUGGAGGGAGAUGGGCUUCCUCUGGGCCUCUCUCUUACUUUGCCAUCCACACUGCUCCUGGCUAACCCCAGCAAUAACCAACAAAUGGUAGGAAGCCCCACCUAUUGCUUUUUCUCAAUUAUGACUGCAUAGUUUGUGGAAACAAAGAUCUUGAGGAAGAUGAGGGAAGCCCUCCCCUCUUCAUAGUCCCCAUCUCUUCUCCUUUGUACCUGUCAACACCAGAGUUCAGUGUUUAAACAGACAAAAUAUAAAGUAUUGAGUAGGUGGUUCAUAUGCCGAAUCCACUUGGUAGGAAGAAACCACCAGCUUUAUAGUGUGCCUGAUAGAUUUUAAACAUUCCUGGGCACCCACUCAAGAGUGCUCUUUUUAUCACCUUCUGGAAAUCCCCAAAGUUGCAGGGGCCUCUGGAGUGUCUCUGCUCUAGAGAGAAUUGGUGGGACCCCCCUCAGUGCAGUGGCCCCAACUAGUGGAGGGAGAGAGGACUUAAGUCAGAUGGACUCAACAGAAAUGGGUUUCCAGAAGAAUAAUGAAAAGUUGUGGGUAGGAAAAUGAAUCAUUUGGACUCUUCAGUGAAAUGGAGUGAGCCCAGGAGAGCUCAACCAACAGAGGCACUCUGGGAACCUGUUAGUAAAGCCAGGCUGGCCAAAUGCCAUUUGAUUUUGAACCUUGUAGGUCCCCACUCACCCCCUGCCAGGAGCUAAGUAAGGCAGGAGAGCUGACUUGGGACUCCUGGCUCGGCCCCAACAGGGAGCCCCCUUCCCACCAUCCCUCGGCAAGCUCACCACCUGAUCCUUCUGCCAAGGCAGCUUUCCUUUCUUUUGUGUGUUUUCUGUGUUCUUAGCCUCCACCCUCCUCCUGCCACCCUUGUGGACUAGGACCAGGUCCUGACCCCAGUCAGAAAAUGAUGAUAUGUACAGUGGCACACCUUAACCAGUCACUAAUUUUCACUGUUGUGAAAGUGAUUUGAUUUAGAAUUAAACAAAUGGUUUUACAUUA